UGAUUCUAAUAAAAGGACCAAGUUUCCUUGGACCAGAACUUGAAGAAUGAUUGCUUCAUUUUUCGCUUUCCUUUUAUCGUUUGUUCUUGAAUAAGGAAAGGUUAUUGUGAUGGGUAAGUCGAGUUUGGACCUUUCGUUUCUCCUUCUUUCUUGUAUGCUCGGAAGUUUUCACCUAAACACUGCUCAGAUUCAGAUGUGUAUCUACACAGCCAAUUUCACUAAUAAUAGUGCAUAUGGCGAAAACCGCAAAGAAAUUCUAUCUUCCCUUACCUCUAAUGUCAAAGACAAUGGUGGGUUUUAUACUAGCCACAUUGGGGAAGGCCUGAAAGGGUUUAUGCUCUCGGACUCUACAGAAGUGAACUUCACGAUGAAGAUUGUUUUAGCUGUGUCAAUUCCUCGAGUCAAGCUAUCAUUGAGAAAUGUCCCUACCAGAAAGAAACCAUAGAUUUCGGACCCCCAUCUUUGUGCAUUGUCCGGUACUCAGACAAGUCCUUUUCCAGGAUAACUUACUCAAGUCCAGCUCAGUUAAUUUGCAAUUUAAGCAAAAUCACCAAUGACACCGAUGAGUUUGAUCAGGCCUUAUAUACACUACAAGAAAAUUGAGAUCUCCCAACGGUUUUGUUAGCAAUGGUUUUUGAAAUUGGGUCUAAUAAUUGGUUUCCCUUUUGUUUAUCUGAUACUCCUGUUGGAAGCUUCAAAUUCUCACAUCAACACAUGAUUGCUGUGAUUGAUUUUUGUGGUACAUAAUCGUGUACCUAAUUUACGCUGUUUGUAUCAUUGCGGUUUUGAUGAAUGCUCAAACUUUCCUUUUAUGUUUUGAAUUUUAUUUGAUAUGGAUGGCAGCAUUUUUUAAAUUUAGGGUCAAGGCAAACUAUGAUCUUCGGUGCUUCAACGCAGUAGGUAGCAAGUUGAUGCAUGUGUAUUGUGAUUGGGUCGUGUGGCUCAGAAUAUUUUAGAUUAUGUAUAAGCAAACUGUCUUGUUUGUUUUUAGCCGCAACUAAGUACUUUGGCAUUUCAUUUCUCGCAGUUCGUAGUUGGCUAUUGGAUACAUAGCAGCAAAAUCUUUUCAAGAAUCUUUUCCAGGUGAUAGGACUAUCUAGAAGCAUUUCGUGCUGGAUAUAUAUUUUCAUGGAGGUUUUGUAAGGAUGACAACCUAUGUGAUUUUUGUUGGACAAGUUUAGGCAAUGAUUUUUGUGGAUUGUUUUGAUAUGUGUUAUGGGAGAUUUGCUAAAGUACAAACAAUGUUGAUGGAUUUUUGUUUGAACAAGUUUAUGUAAUGGAGUUUGAAUUAUGAUAUAUAUGAUAGUUAAUUUGGUUUUUUAA